rnacentral:tRNA from 1 species
GGAGAGGUGACCGAGCGGCCGAAGGUGCUCGCCUGGAAAGCGGGUGUACUGAAAGGUACCGGGGGUUCGAAUCCCCCCCUCUCCGCCA